rnacentral:rRNA from 1 species
GAUCGGAUCAAGCGCGAGAAGGGCGUCUGGUGGAUGCCUUGGCAGCAAGAGGCGAUGAAGGACGUGAUACCCUGCGAUAAGCCAUGGGGAGCCGGGAAUAGGCUUCGAUCCAUGGAUCUCCGAAUGGGGCAACCCACCUGAUUGUUCGUUGUUGUCGCGCCGCUCCGGCGGUGCGGUCACCAGCGGGCAGAACCAGGUACUUUGAGGCUGAAUACAUAGGCUUCAAAGAGCAAACCCGGGGAACUGAAACAUCUAAGUACCCGGAGGAAAGGACAUCAACAGAGACUCCGUCAGUAGCGGCGAGCGAACGCGGACCAGCCGAGCCUCGAGUGUGACCGGAACCGUCUGGAAAGGCGGGCCAGAGCGGGUGACAGCCCCGUACGGGAAGCACGAGAGGACGUAUCAAGUAGAGCGGGACACGUGAAAUCCUGUUCGAAGAUGGGGGGACCACCCUCCAAGGCUAAGUACUCCUUGCUGACCGAUAGCGAACCAGUACCGUGAGGGAAAGGUGAAAAGCACCCCGACGAGGGGAGUGAAACAGUACCUGAAACCGGGCGCCUACAAGCAGUCGGAGCUUGACUGGACACUCAUGACAACCAAAGACGGGGCCGGACCUUGGAACAGGGAGCGGCCUCAUGGCGGACGGGACAUUCGCGGCAUUGUUGCUGGUGGCGGGGCUCUACGAGAUGAGCACCAAGCACUGUGGGACGCCCGCGGGCUGCCUCGGCCGCGAGGCGGGGACGCCGCGCCUGGCGCUCUCCGCGGGCGAAGUGAUCGAGCGCAACGCCGAUCCGGCGGCGGAGGUUUACCUUCGCUACGACCCGGGCGCGCGCUUCGGCCCCUUCGGGCAGGCCGCCGGCCUCUCGCUCGGCGAGAACGGCGAAGCCUGGAUCGGCUACGGCGCGACAUGGGCGACCGACUUCGGCGGAUCGCCCCUCUACGCUGAGCUGCACGCCAUGCCGGGGCUCUACGCACCCGGCGACGGCUUCGACCUCGGCGGACCCAUCGCGUUCCGCUCGGGCGUCGAGCUCGGGUGGCAAAGCGCGCAGGGCUGGCGCGUCGCGGUGAGCUACGAUCACCGCUCCAACGCCGGUCUCCACGAAGAGAACCCCGGCGUCGAGACCGCGCAGCUCAGGGUCAGCCUGCCGCUCAGGUAGGGCAGGGCGAUCCGGCCGGCGGGCCAAGGAUCGGCGCCGCUUGCCAUGGCUACGCCAUCGCACCGCACCCAACCGGCCAAGGGCCGGCACGGAGUGCCGACGCGCCCCUGCGCGUCGGUCCAAGAAAGGUUGUCAUCAGCGUCCAGUCGAGUGACGGCGUACCUUUUGUAUAAUGGGUCAUCGACUUGGUCUCACAUGCAAGCUUAAGCCGCUAGGCGGAGGCGCAGCGAAAGCGAGUCUUAAAUGGGCGUCGAGUAUGUGGGAUCAGACCCGAAACCGAGUGAUCUAGGCAUGGCCAGGCUGAAGGUGCGGUAACACGCACUGGAGGGCCGAACCCACAUCUGUUGAAAAAGAUCGGGAUGAGCUGUGCCUAGGGGUGAAAGGCCAAUCAAACUCGGAGAUAGCUGGUUCUCCGCGAAAGCUAUUUAGGUAGCGCGUCGGAUGAAUACCCCCGGGGGUAGAGCACUGGAUGGGUAAUGGGGCCCCACAGGCUUACUGAUCCUAACCAAACUCCGAAUACCGGGGAGUACUGUCCGGCAGACACACUGCGGGUGCUAACGCCCGUGGUGGAGAGGGAAACAACCCUGACCUCCGGCUAAGGCCCCCAAUUCGUGGCUAAGUGGGAAAGCAGGUGAGACGGCCAAAACAACCAGGAGGUUGGCUUAGAAGCAGCCAUCCUUUAAAGAUAGCGUAACAGCUCACUGGUCUAAUCAAGCUGUCUUGCGGCGAAGAUGUAACGGGGCUCAAGCCACGAGCCGAAGCCGAGGAGUGCGUAAGCACUGGUAGCGGAGCGUCGUGUGACGUGAGGCUCUGCCUCUUGCGCGAAAGUUGCGGUGUCACGCAGCUGUCGCGACGGAGGCGCGGGCCUCCUCUGUGAAGCCGGGGCGCGAGCCAUCCGGUGGAGAGAUCACGAGCGAGAAUGAUGACAUGAGUAGCGACAAAGGGGGUGAGAGACCCCCUCGCCGAAAGUCCAAGGGUUCCUGCUUAAAGCUAAUCUGAGCAGGGUGAGCCGGCCCCUAAGGCGAGGCCGAAAGGCGUAGCCGAUGGGAAUCAGGUCAAUAGUCCUGAGCCAGGAGGAUGUGACGGAUCUCGACCGUCGUCGGACCUUAUCGGAUUGGUCCGGCGGCCGAGCGGUCCCAGGAAACAGCCCUCCAUCAGACCGUACCCGAAACCGACACAGGUGGACUGGUAGAGCAUACCAAGGCGCUUGAGAGAACGAUGUUGAAGGAACUCGGCAAAAUGCCUCCGUAAGUUCGCGAGAAGGAGGCCCGGGUCCUGGGCAACCAGGGUCCGGGGGCACAAACCAGGGGGUGGCGACUGUUUACUAAAAACACAGGGCUCUG